AAUGAACGUUGGCGGCGUGGAUUAGGCAUGCAAGUCGUGCGGAAGUGGCCCGCAAGGGUUACUUUAGCGGCGAAAGGGAGAGUAAUACGUAGGUACCUACCCCUGGAACCGGGAUAGCUGCGGGAAACUGCAGGUAGUACCGGAUAACGUCUCCGGACCAAAGGUGUGAUUCCGUCCGGGGAGGGGCCUGCGUCCUAUUAGCUAGUUGGUGAGGUGACGGCUCACCAAGGCAAAGAUGGGUACGGGGUAUGAGAGUAUGCCCCCGCUCACUGGGACUGAGACACUGCCCAGACACCUACGGGUGGCUGCAGUCGAGGAUCUUCGGCAAUGGGCGCAAGCCUGACCGAGCGACGCCGCGUGUGGGAUGAAGGCCCUCGGGUUGUAAACCACUGUCAGAGGGGAUGAAAUGCCAUGGGGUUCUCUUCAUGGUUUGACAUAUCCUCAGAGGAAGGACGGGCUAAGUUCGUGCCAGCAGCCGCCGUAAGAC
rnacentral:rRNA from 1 species